rnacentral:lncRNA from 1 species
GAGGAGCCUGAUCUGGUUAGUGCAAUUUAUGGCCGAGGGAUAGCCUAUGGAAAGAAGGGACUACAUGACAUUAAGAAUGCUGAGCUUGCUCUGUUCGAACUGAGCCGAGUAAUUACCUUGGAACCAGAUCGUCCAGAGGUAUUUGAGCAGCGAGCAGAAGUGAGUGUGGCUUUCUUUUUCCCUCUGUCAUUAUUGGAUUAGUUGAAUCUCAAUUUUUUUCCUAUUACUUUAUUAUUUGUAAAUUUUAAUGCUCCCUUAAAACUCUUAUGUUUUUCUAUGUCGGUACUUAAUGCCUUUAAGCAUGGUUGAAAUUAAUAGAAAACUAUGGAUUGAGUGAUAUUCCUGAACUAACAUAGAAGAGUAAUAUUUAGUAUGAAAAUAUGUGGUUGAAAAUAUUUAGUAUGAAAAUAUGACGUGUACUACUUCUAUAGAUAUUCAUUGAAAAAUAUAACACAUAAUAUUUGUGUUAUAUUUUGAAAAAUAUAACACAGAAAAAUACAACACACAAAAGAAACACAGUUUCAUCCAUGUCCCUACAAAGGACAUGAACUCAUCAUUUUUUAUGGCUGCAUAGUAUUCCAUGGUAAUAUGUGCCACAUUUUCUUAAUCCAGUCUAUUGUUGUUGGACAUUUGGGUUGGUUCCAAGUCUUUAUGUAACAAACCUGCACAUUGUGCACAUGUACCCUAAAACUUAAAGUAUAAUAAUAAUAAAAUUU